CAGCCGCCGCGGUAAUACCGGCGGCCCGAGUGGCGGUCACUAUUAUUGGGCUUAAAGCGUCCGUAGCCGGGUUGGGAAGUCCUCCGGGAAAUCUGGCCGCUUAACGGUCAGAAUUCCGGGAGAUACUCCCAGCCUAGGGAGCGGGAGAGGCCGGGGGGAUUCCCGGGGUAGGGGGGAAAUCCUGUAAUCCCGGGAGGACCACCUGUGGCGAAGGCGCUCGGCUGGAACGGGUCCGACGGUGAGGGACGAAGGCCAGGGGAGCGAACCGGAUUAGAUACCCGGGUAGUCCUGGCUGUAAACGAUGCGGACUAGGUGUCGGGCAAGCUAAGGGCUUGUCCGGUGCCGCAGGGAAGCCGUUAAGUCCGCCGCCUGGGGAGUACGGCCGCAAGGCUGAAACUUAAAGGAAUUGGCGGG
rnacentral:rRNA from 1 species